rnacentral:rRNA from 1 species
UACGUAGGUGGCAAGCGUUGUCCGGAUUUAUUGGGCGUAAAGAGCUCGUAGGCGGCUUGUCGCGUCGGAUGUGAAAGCCCGGGGCUUAACUCCGGGUCUGCAUUCGAUACGGGCAGGCUAGAGUUCGGUAGGGGAGAUCGGAAUUCCUGGAUGUGAGCGGUGGAAAUGACGCAGAUAUCAGGGAGGAACACCGGUGGGCGAAGGCGGAUCUCUGGGCCGAUACUGACGCUGAGGAGCGAAAGCGUGGGGAGCGAACAGG